GAUCCCAAGCCUUCUGGCGUUCUGUUUAUUAAAUUCCAAAAGCAAUAAAAACAUUUAGGAGCGUUUAAAAAAACAAACCAAAAGCGUUUAAGAAACAGAUAUGUUUGUUAAACAUAUCUUUUAUCUGUCCCGAGGAAGGUUUUUACCAAUUCACUCCUGAGGGCUUGUAGCUCAGUUGGUUAGAGCGCGCGCUUGAUAAGCGUGAGGUCGGAGGUUCAAGUCCUCCCAGGCCCACCAAUUUAUGAUCGCUGAUAAAGUUUUUUGCGAACGUUUUGAUAGUCUUUUGUGUUGCAAUCUUUUACUUUUAUGUUGCACUUUUAAAAGUUAUUUGAACUGUUUUAGGGGCCGUAGCUCAGCUGGGAGAGCACCUGCUUUGCAAGCAGGGG
rnacentral:misc_RNA from 1 species